AUAUGCAAUAUUUUGGCAAACAAAACAUUUGAGAAGAAUUUGGAAUCAAGUUUCCUUUGAUGUGUCCACUGCAGAAUUCCCCUCUAUAAAUUCUUCAAUUACAUGUGAGAGUAAUCAAACUUUCAGUAAUCCUUCCCAUGGUUUCCCAAACUUCUCUUCUCUUCUCUUCAUAACUCUGAUAAGCACUCUUCUGGUUAGCUGCAAUGCAGCAUCCGAUGCCAAUGAAAAGGUAUGAAAUUUGUGUUUAUAAUGAAACAUCUGAGUGUUUUAAUCCAUGUUCAGAUUUCUUUUCUUCUUGUAAAUUUCGACAUGCUGAUGCAGGUAUUCAUUGUAUACAUGGCAGCUUACUUGUUGCAAGUGAAAUUUGAGAAGGCUUGGCAACUGCCUUUCCAUUUGCUUGGAGGAGGACCAAACCCUUCAUCACUGAAACUCUCCGAUUCAGGCCAAAUUCUGGUGUCUAACAUUCCAAAAAUAACGUCGCUCUCAAUUUUUGUUCUUUCAACGUCUUCAAGGAAUCCCAUGAAGUCCCAUGAUCUUGUUGUGUGGAGCUGCUUUUUGGUGUUAGGGAAUACAGACACUACUGUGUCCAUGCCUAAGUACGUAUUAAAUAUAUGUACAUUAGAUUAGAAGCAAGGGAAAUUGGACUCACGUGUGCUGCAAUUUACAUUUUAAUUGAUUCAUAUUUGACAUACUAGCAAUUGUCUCUUUCUCUUCCUCAGUCAUCUUGGCAACAAAGUCAUUGAAGCUUUUGCGAUACAUAUAUUUAAUACGUACUUAGGCAUGGACACAGUAGUGUCUAUAUUCCCUAACACCAAAAAGCAGCUCCACACAACGAGAUCAUGAGACUUCAUGGGAUUCACUGAAGACAUUGAAAGAACAAAAGUUGAGAGCGACAUUAUUGUGGAAUGUUAGACACUGGGAUUUGGCCUAAAUCAGAGAGUUUCAGUGAUGAAGGGUGGUCCUCCUCCAAGCAAAUGGAAAGGCAGUUGCCAAGCCUCCUCAACAUGUUUUAAAAAUGGGGGUAAAAUAUUUAAUCUCAUUUUUACAGCAUUAUUUGUUUUGCUUAUUUAAAAAUGCAAUGGUUAAAUAUGUCUUUGUACUCAGUAAAAUACAAUGAUAAAAUUUUAUUAAUCAAUGUCACAAUAUAUAAUAAAUAAUAUUACUCUUAAAAAUGUGACGAGUUUCAAAAUAGAACAACAAUCAAUCACGGCUGCUCCACGUUUUUGCCAUGGGGAAGUAAAAGGUCUCCGCCAACUACGUAUCAAAGUUGAUGUAAAGACAAAGAGUGUAACACGUGCCUACAAAAAAGUCUUAUUGUACCAAUGAGAAAAAACAAUUUGGACCAAGUAUUUUUGUGCUCCAUAUGAUAAUUCGGCAUAAUUUAUACAUAAUUGAAAAAGAUCUUUAAAUUGACACAAUUCUUUUUUAGAGCAUUUGACGAAAGUUUUCAUGAUUAUGUUUUGUAAUUUUAUGUGAAUGUAAAAGGAAAAAACUCACAUUAUUUUUGAAGUCAAAUCAACGUACUCCAAUUUUAAAUAAAUGAAGAAGUGCCACCAUAACACGCUAGGCCUAUUGAUAAAUAUAUCUUUAACAAUUAUCCUUUCAUCUAGUAGUUUAUUGUCUCGAGAUAAGCUGCAAAAUGCACUUUAGCCCCUUUUACUCUCCUUGUAAACUACUAAUAUUUUCACGUACAACAUAACAGCAGAUCAUUGGACAAUAGUCCUACGAAUAAUUGGUUAACUAAGAUUGUGAAGAGGUAGUGCCAAAACAUAUUAAAACUGUAAUUUGACACUUACAAGUAGAGUUUACGAAAGCCGGUUGCUAUUUAAAAGGGAUGAUAACAUAUUUGGUCCCCCAAACUUUCAAAAACUUGUAGAUAUAUCUCUAACCUUUAAAAAUAGCACCUCACAUGCCGACGUUUGAAAAAUUAUGCAUGACUCGUCCCUGUUGAUAGAAUCCAUACAAUUUGACAUUUUAAGAUAAUUUAACUGACAAAAUUGUCCUCCCAUUUAGAUGAACCCAAAAAAUAAUAAUAAUAAUAAUAAUAAUAAUAAUAAUAAUAAUAAUAAUAAUAAUAAUAAUAAUAAUAAUAAUAAUAAUAAUAAUAAUAACAUUCAAAAUGAAAAUCUAAAGGAAAAAUUGCAAUGUAUGUCCAAAACAUUUUCAAAAAUCCAAAUAAAUUUCACUAUAAACAAUUAAAAGUAGAUUUACAACAAAAGAAAAAUAAAAGAAUUUAAAAAAUAAAAAAGAAAUAGUUUCUUCAACCUAGUGCCACCACCACCCACUAAAAAAUGAAAAAUCAUUUAAAGUAAAAGAAUAAUUAAACAAAUGAAAAUGUCAAUCUUGCCCCAAACCCACCCAUCUCCACACCGUCCCCGCCAUCCAACUAAACCAAAUUCCCAUCACCAAUCAACCAUUGGUCAUUAUUGGUAUUCGAACUCACAAUCACCUAGAAUCUACUAUAAUUUAAGAAGGAGAGCUUAUAAAAGAUGUUAACUAUCUCAAAGAGAAUAGACUAUGAAAAUCGUCAUAUAAUCUCGGCCCAUUAUCGUUGUCAUCAAUUAACAUCAUCAUUGGAAUCAUGAACACAUCUCACAAAUGAUGUAGUGAUCACUUAGAUGAUCACACUUCAAAGCAACAAGUGGUAUUUUGGACGUCAUCACUUCAUGUCCCACCAAUUAGAAAUAAGCAAUAAUUACCUAGAUGACACGUAAUCAUAACCUAAACCAAAAUUACGACCUAGAUAGUAUGAUGACAUACAUUGCCAAUCUCUAUAACCAAUAAACCUCAAAGAAUAUUUCUUAGUGUACCGACUACUCACAACAAGGGAGGGAUGGGUAUUUUUGGGUAAUUUUUAUACAUGCGGGACCCACCUGGUGUGAAUAGUCAAUAAGGGGUCUAUGAACCCCUAAUUGUACACCAGGAGUAAUUCAACCUCAAAUGUGGAUGGUGACACGCACUUUCAGGUCAACCAAAUUAUUCGUUGUAAAUGCCUUUAAAUGGGACAAAUGGUAUCCUCCAAAAGGCCGAGCUCAUUGAGUCUCUCUUUUCUACUUCCAAAUUCAAUCAAUCAAAAUUAGCAUUUUUAUUUUAAUAAAAUCCAACAAUUACUCUACAGAUAUCAUAUUUAGUUGAUCAAAAUUUGUCAUCUCAUUUUUAGUUGUCAAUAGUCACCUCUUUAUACCUCUCCAAGAAGCCAUUACCUCCCGCCAUGAACACCACUACAACUCGCGAUUUGAAGACUUUAAAUCUAAUGUCAAUUUCCUCUCCCAAGUUUACCAUUACUGUAAAAUCCAUCUAUCCUCGACCACACUUUUCAGCCCUCGUUUGUGGCAAUAAAUAUACGGAUAAGAAGUUCUCUCAAAAUAACUUUUUUAUUCUCAAUUCAAACUUUAAAACAAAAGCUUCUAGACAGUUUAUGUUAUAUCCUUAAAGUUUUACUUCGAAAUGUUGUCUGCUUUCGAAAAAUUAAACAGUAAAACAUCUAACAAACUGAUUCUUCCUUUUGUUGAGAGGUCGUAUUUGAACCGUUCGGAGAAGAAAUUGCUGAAAUAUUUUAUUCUUGAAGAUCCAAAACUAAGGAGAUGGUGAAGAUUAAAAUUAGAUUUUGUAUAGAUUUCGAUAGAAGUUGAUGAAAUGUAUGGUUGAAAAGUUGUGGAACCCAUAAAAUAUAUGGUUGAAAUGAAAUGUUGACUUUGACUUAAAUUAAAAUUAAAAUUUUAAUUGGUACCAAACUGGGGCUAAAUCUCAAUGUGAUUAUAGGUUGGGCAUAAUUGUUUUAUGGAAUAGUGGCAAUUGAUUUUUUAUGUGAUUAUGCAGGGUGUGAUGUUUUAUGGAAUGGUAGCAAUUGAUUGUUUUUUGUUUCCUUUUUUUCUUUUUCUUUUUUUGAUGGCAACGAGCAAUGUUUCGGAUGUGACACGAGGCAAUGCUAGUUUUUAGUGCAACAUGCGGUGAUGGUGAUUUCGGUUGUGGAUUUCGGGGUAGUUUUAGAGUGGUGGGAUGGAUGUUGGAGAUGAUAAAGAAUACUUAUUCUCAAAUUAACAUAAUUGUAAAAACUCAUUUGUUCAUUGCAUUUUUAAUAAGCAAAAUAGACAAUACUGUAAAAAUGGAUUAAAUAUUUGAAUCUCAU
rnacentral:lncRNA from 1 species